UCUCAAAGAUUAAGCCAUGCAUGUCUAAGUACAUACUGUUCUAAAGUGAAACCGCGAAUGGCUCAUUAAAUCAGUUACGGUUCCUCGGAUAUUCCAUUUUACAUGGAUAACUGUGGUAAUUCUAGAGCUAAUACAUGCACCAAAGCUUCAACCCCGGCCAGGGUCCGGCAAGUUUCCCUUCCGGGUUGCUUGUCUCCCUGUGUUUGGCGGAAGAAGCGCAUUUAUUAGACCAAGACCAAUGAUCCUUUUUCACCCAGGACCCUGUUUAGUUACGGCUUUUCGGAGUGUCGGGCUAAAUAAGACCUGGCAGUGGGGAUCUACGCAGCUCCACCUAGUUGGACUGCUAUGGUAUGGUGACUCUGGAUAACUGAGCAAAUCGCAUGGCCACUGCGCCGGCGAUGUAUCCCUCAAGCGUCUGCCUUAUCAACUUUCGAUGGUAGGUUAUGCGCCUACCAUGGUUGUAACGGGUAACGGGGAAUCAGGGUUCGAUUCCGGAGAGGGAGCCUGAGAAACGGCUACCACAUCCAAGGAAGGCAGCAGGCACGCAAAUUACCCACUCCCGGCACGGGGAGGUAGUGACGAAAAAUAACAAUACGGGACUCUAUUGAGGCCCCGUAAUUGGAAUGAGUACAAUUUAAAUCCUUUAACGAGGAUCUAUUGGAGGGCAAGUCUGGUGCCAGCAGCCGCGGUAAUUCCAGCUCCAAUAGCGUAUAUUAAAGUUGUUGCGGUUAAAAAGCUCGUAGUUGGAUUUCAGUUCAACCUAUGGGGUCCACUGAAAAAGGGUGGGUCAACUCUGGUUUGCUUCUUCUCUUAACAGGGUUGAGCAUUCCAGGUUACCCUCCUGGUGGUUACUACUAUAGCUGUUGGACACAAUUGUGACCGAUUUCUGCUUCUAAUGCUCUUAAUCGAGUGUUAGUUCAAGCAAUCGGUACUUUUACCUUGAAAAAAUUAGAGUGCUCAAAGCAGGCGUACCAACCCUCGAAAGAGGGGCCUACAACGGGUAUGGCCCACCAUCUGUAUGAUGAGUACCAUAUUCCCUAACUUGAAUAAUCUUGCAUGGAAUAAUGGAAUAGGACCUUGGUUCUAUUUUGUUGGUCUUCGGAAUCCGAGGUAAUGAUUAAGAGGGACAGACGGGGGCAUUCGUAUUGCGGCGCUAGAGGUGAAAUUCUUGGACCGUCGCAAGACGAACUACAGCGAAAGCAUUUGCCAAGAAUGUUUUCAUUAAUCAAGAACGAAAGUUAGAGGUUCGAAGGCGAUCAGAUACCGCCCUAGUUCUAACCAUAAACGAUGCCAACCAGCGAUCAGCCUGAGUUUUUUCUAAUGACUCGGCUGGCAGCUUCCGGGAAACCAAAGUUUUUGGGUUCCGGGGGAAGUAUGGUUGCAAAGCUGAAACUUAAAGGAAUUGACGGAAGGGCACCACCAGGAGUGGAGCCUGCGGCUUAAUUUGACUCAACACGGGAAAACUCACCCGGCCCGGACACUGAGAGGAUUGACAGAUUGAGAGCUCUUUCUUGAUUCAGUGGGUGGUGGUGCAUGGCCGUUCUUAGUUGGUGGAGCGAUUUGUCUGGUUAAUUCCGAUAACGAACGAGACUCUAGCCUACUAAAUAGGCUUGCAAUUGACACUGCAGUACUCUCCCACGGUAGACUCAUAGGUCCUUGGGAUAUCUGACUCGUUUGAGGGUUUCGGCUCUCGGCGGGAAGGCUCUACCCAGGGAUACCUAUGAUGUUCUCCGUGGACGGGAUGCUGUAGCAUUGCAAGGACUUCUUAGAGGGACAAGCGGCGAUCGCAGCCGCACGAAACAGAGCAAUAACAGGUCUGUGAUGCCCUUAGAUGUCCGGGGCCGCACGCGCGCUACACUGAAGUGGCCAUCGUGCAUUAUGGAACCUGCUCCGAGAGGAGUGGGUAACCGCCUCAACCCUCUUCGUGAUGGGGAUUGGGCAUUGUAAUUAUUGCCCAUGAACGAGGAAUUCCCAGUAAGCGUGAGUCAUAAGCUUGCGUUGAUUACGUCCCUGCCCUUUGUACACACCGCCCGUCGCUACUACCGAUUGAAUGAUUUAGUGAGGACUUCGGACUGGUCAGCCCAGACCAUCGGUUCACCCCGGUGGUCAGGUUGUUCUGGAAAGAUGUUCAAACUUGAUCAUUUAGAGGAAGUAAAAGUCGUAA
rnacentral:rRNA from 1 species